GAUGAACGCUGGCGGCGUGCUUAACACAUGCAAGUCGAACGAAGCAUUUGCGACAGAUUUUUUCGGAAUGAGGUUGCUUAUGACUGAGUGGCGGACGGGUGAGUAACGCGUGGGUAACCUGCCUUGUACUGGGGGAUAGCAGCUGGAAACGGCUGGUAAUACCGCAUAAGCGCACAAUGUUGCAUGACAUGGUGUGAAAAACUCCGGUGGUAUAAGAUGGACCCGCGUCUGAUUAGCUAGUUGGUGAGAUAACAGCCCACCAAGGCGACGAUCAGUAGCCGACCUGAGAGGGUGACCGGCCACAUUGGGACUGAGACACGGCCCAGACUCCUACGGGAGGCAGCAGUGGGGAAUAUUGCACAAUGGAGGAAACUCUGAUGCAGCGACGCCGCGUGAGUGAAGAAGUAAUUCGUUAUGUAAAGCUCUAUCAGCAGGGAAGAUAGUGACGGUACCUGACGAAGAAGCUCCGGCUAAAUACGUG
rnacentral:rRNA from 1 species